rnacentral:rRNA from 1 species
GAUGAACGCUGGCGGUCUGCUUAACACAUGCAAGUCGAACGAACUCUUCGGAGUGAGUGGCGGACGGGUGAGUAACGCGUGAGAAUCUGCCUGUGGGUCGGGGACAACCACUGGAAACGGUGGCUAAUACCGGAUGAGCCGAAAGGUAAAAAAUUUAUUGCCCACAGAUGAGCUCGCGUCUGAUUAGCUAGUUGGUAAGGUAAAAGCGUACCAAGGCGACGAUCAGUAGCUGGUCUGAGAGGAUGAGCAGCCACACUGGGACUGAGACACGGCCCAGACUCCUACGGGAGGCAGCAGUGGGGAAUUUUCCGCAAUGGGCGAAAGCCUGACGGAGCAAGACCGCGUGGGGGAGGAAGGUUUUUGGAUCGUAAACCCCUUUUGUCAAGGAAGAAGUUCUGACGGUACUUGACGAAUAAGCCUCGGCUAACUCCGUGCCAGCAGCCGCGGUAAUACGGAGGAGGCAAGCGUUAUCCGGAAUGAUUGGGCGUAAAGCGUCUGUAGGUGGCCAGCUAAGUCUGCUGUUAAAGAUCACAGCUCAACUGUGGGAAGGCAGUGGAAACUGGCAAGCUAGAGGCUGGUAGGGGUAAAGGGAAUUCCNGUGUANCGGUGAAAUGCGUAAAUUUCGGNAAAACACCGGUGGCGAAGCCCUUUAU